AAUACCGGCGGCUCGAGUGGUGGCCGAUAUUAUUGAGUCUAAAGGGUCCGUAGCCGGCUUUGCAAGUCUCUCGGGAAAUCCAGCGGCUUAACCGUUGGGCGUCUGGGGGCUACUACAUUGCUUGGGACUGGGAGAGGCGAGAGGUACUCAGGGGGUAGGAGUGAAAUCCUGUAAUCCUUUGGGGACCACCGGUGGCGAAGGCGUCUCGCCAGAACAGGUCCGACGGUGAGGGACGAAAGCUAGGGGCACGAACCGGAUUAGAUACCCGGGUAGUCCUAGCCGUAAACGAUGCUCGCUAGGUGUCACAACAGUCGUGAACUGUUGUGGUGCCGUAGGGAAGCCGUGAAGCGAGCCACUUGGGAAGUACGACCGCAAGGUUGAAACUUAAAGGAAUUGGCGGGGGAGCACCACAACGGGUGGAGCCUGCGGUUUAAUUGGACUCAACGCCGGGAAGCUUACCGGGAUCGACAGUUGUAUGAAGGCCAGGCUGAAGACCUUGCCGGACUAUCUGAGAAGUGGUGCAUGGCC
rnacentral:rRNA from 1 species